GCCGGAGUGGUUGGAACUGGCAUACACAGCCGUCUUAAAAGCGGCGGACUUUGGUCAUAAGGGUUCGAAUCCCUUCUCCGGCA
rnacentral:tRNA from 1 species